rnacentral:rRNA from 1 species
CCUACGGGGGGCAGCAGUGAGGAAUAUUGGUCAAUGGAGGAAACUCUGACCCAGCAACGCCGCGUGAAUGAUGAAGGUCUUCGGAUUGUAAAGUUCUUUUCUAAGGGAAGAAGAAAGUGACGGUACCUUAGGAAUAAGCCCCGGCUAACUACGUGCCAGCAGCCGCGGUAAUACGUAGGGGGCAAGCGUUAUCCGGAUUCACUGGGUGUAAAGGGAGCGUAGACGGCGAGACAAGUCUGGAGUGAAAGGCCGGGGCCCAACCCCGGGACUGCUCUGGAAACUGCCUGGCUGGAGUACAGGAGAGGUAAGUGGAAUUCCUAGUGUAGCGGUGAGAUGCGUAGAUAUUAGGAGGAACACCAGUGGCGAAGGCGGCUUACUGGACUGUAACUGACGUUGAGGCUCGAAAGCGUGGGGAGCAAACAGGAUUAGAUACCCGAGUAGUC